rnacentral:rRNA from 1 species
UACGUAGGCAGCGAGCGUUGUUCGGAGUUACUGGGCGUAAAGGGUGUGUAGGCGGUUGUUUAAGUUUGGUGUGAAAUCUCCCGGCUCAACUGGGAGGGUGCGCCGAAUACUGAAUGACUAGAGUGCGGGAGAGGAGAGUGGAAUUCCUGGUGUAGCGGUGAAAUGCGUAGAUAUUCGGAAGAACACCAGUGGCGAAGGCGGCACUCUGGGGCCGGAACUGACGCUGAGGAGCGAAAGCGUGGGGAGCAAACAGG